UCUACUUGCUCACUAAUGAUUUGUGAAACCACGGUUUUUCUCCUUUCUAAUAAUUAUAAACGAGACAUCCCGGUAAACUAGAAAUUUCAGCCUUGUCACUCAUGUACGAGCAAAUGUCAAUAACAAAUUCUCCUCAACAGGUUUCCGGAACCAAAACAAAAAUGAUCCCAUGUUCAUAAUUUGUGAUGUUUUCGUGGACCUUUUUUCAUUGUUACAGUUUUUAGGCGAAAAUUCAGGGUAACUCGAAGACGGCACAAGAUAUUCAUGUUAGUGCCAACAAUUCUAAAAGAAGAAUAAAGAAAUACAUAGGAGAAACAUGUAAGUAUAUGAAUCGUAUAACCCCAAAAAGAGUA
rnacentral:lncRNA from 1 species